UGUACACCUUCAAAUGGCCGGCUUGUAAUGGAACUCGGGGGAGGGCGUCAUCCCAGGCGUGGAAAGAAAGGGAUGGGGUGAGCCCCAAAGGUAACUGGAAAGAGGGAGUUCAAGCUAGGAAACACUACGGCCUUCAUUCUGAAAGCGAAAGGCUCCCUGAAUUCCUCAUGGAGUUGAGAAUCCUCACCUCUGCUGAUGAUUGAAUAAGGGACACGGUCUCUGCCUCAGCGUGGCACAAAUAUCUGCUGAAAAUCUAGGCCAGGCCAGAGAAGAUCAUUUGGUCCCCUUGCCCACAGCACUGCCAGGAGACGUACCCAGGGUUGAAAUCCACUGUGUAGACAAUAGUGAAGAAUCCAUUCAUGUCUUGGAACCGGAAGAAGUGGUCCGAUCGGCUCUGUAUUUUGAAGCUCACCCUGGCAGCAGCGUGGAAGAAAAAUCCUCAAUACAUUUCUCUGGAGGCUCUAGAAUUUGGGCCGUCUGCCAAAUAAAGACCUGGGCCUCUUUUUUACCAUUUGUUAGAAUCUUGGAAAAUAUGGCAAACUUGCCCUGACCCUGUCAUUCAGAUAAGUCUGUGAAAUGGGGGUGUACUCUGUGCCCUUGGUGGAAGGUUCUGGCGACUCUGAGCUCCGUCUCACGGAAGCUGCUUGUUCCCGGAGCUGGUCCGUGGGUGGUUGUGGCUGUCACGACUUCUGAGUGUAGAACACGCGCGGAUCGCAAAAACUGACCGUGAGAGAGGGUACAAUAUCUCAAUGCUUCUAUCUUGGUUACUUGGGAUGGUAUUUUGAACACAGUGGACUAAAGAAAAUAUCAAAAUUAAUUUCACAUGUUGCUUGUUUUAA
rnacentral:lncRNA from 1 species